GCUCCCGUAGCUCAGCCGGAUAGAGCAACGGAUUUCUAAUCCGUCGGUCGCGCGUUCGAGUCGCGCCGGGAGCA
rnacentral:tRNA from 1 species